AAUCAAAAAGCUUCAAUUCAAAUAUUUUGGAAAAUUGUCAAACUAUUAUUUUAUCUUAAAUACGCAGAAAUCAGUUUGAACUCGGUAGACAAUAUUUGAUCACCCAUCAGUUGCGAAGAAUUAGAAUUCAAAAUCAAGAGCGUGUUGAUUAAGCGCGCACUUUCUAUUAUUACAACAAUAUAGAUCCACGGUUUUCAAAAUGUAUAUAUUAUUUUUUUACUCCGAGUUCUCUUCUGUUCUUUUAUCGUUGUAAUAUAUUUUGGUUUUUUAAGAAAACUUUUUCU